ACACUGCCCAGACUCCUUACGGGAGGCUGCAGUCGAGGAUCAUUCGCAAUGGGGGAAACCCUGACGAUGCGACGCUGCGUGGAGGAUGAAGGCCCUCGGGUCGUAAACUCCUGUCAUGUGGGACAAGACGGCGGCCGCGAACAGCGGCGCGCCAUUGAUGGUACCACAAGAGGAAGCCACGGCUAACUCUGUGCCAGCAGCCGCGGUAAUACAGAGGUGGCGAGCGUUGUUCGGAUUUACUGGGCGUAAAGCGUGCGUAGGCGGUCGCGUGUGUCGGAUGUGAAAUCCCGGGGCUCACCCCCGGAAGUGCAUCCGAAACUGCGCGGCUUGAGGCCGGGAUGGGUGACUGGAACACAUGGUGUAGCGGUGAAAUGCGUUGAUAUCAUGUGGAACACCGGAGGCGAAGGCGAGUCACUGGAACGGAUCUGACGCUGAGGCACGAAAGCGUGGGGAGCAAACAAGAGUAGAUACCCUGGUAGUCCACGCCGUAAACGUCGCACAAAGGGGGAGGGGGGAAUUACCCCCCCCCCUGGGCCAGCUAACGCGAUAAAUGUGCCGCCUGGGGAGUACGGCCGCAAGGUUAAAAACUCAAAGAAAUUGACGGGGGCCCGCACAAGCGGAGGAGCAUGUGGCUUAAUUCGAUGCAACGCGAAGAACCUUACCUAGGCUUGACAUGUGACUGCACGCCCUGUGAAAGCAGGGCUCCUUCGAGGGUGUCACACAGGUGCUGCAUGGCUGUCGUCAGUUCGUGCCGUGAGGUGUUUGGUUAAGUCCACCAACGAACGCAACCCCUGCGUCCAUUUGCCAACGGGUAAUGCCGGGAACUAUGGACGGACUGCCCCUUCAAACGGGAGGAGGGUGGGGAUGACGUCAAAUCAUCAUGCCCCUUAUGUCUAGGGCUACACACGUGCUACAAUGGUCGGUACAAUAAGACGCAAGCCCGCGAGGGGGAGCAAAACUGGAAAACCGAUCUCAGUUCGGAUUGUAGGCUGAAACUCGCCUACAUGAAGCUGGAGUUGCUAGUAAUCGCGAAUCAGCAUGUCGCGGUGAAUACGUUCCCGGGCCUUGCACACACCGCCCGUCA
rnacentral:rRNA from 1 species